GCUUCCUCUCUGCUGCCAAGCGGUGGCGGCUGAGGCGGGAGGUGGUGGGGGUAGAGACGUUUUUAUUGAGCUCUUACCGUGUGCCUGGUCCUGUAGAAUCCCUGGAAUGAGUAAAGAAGGUUACAGUGCCUGCCCUCGAGAAGCUUGGGGAGCCAAGGGCUUACAGGGGCCCGACCUGUGGGUUGAAACCCAGGUUCCCUGUGGGCACCCUCUGUACUACUUACCAUUGACCCAA
rnacentral:lncRNA from 1 species